ACAACAUAACGAAUAACGAAUACAAAAGAACGAAUACUUUCAAGUCCGGUAACGAAUACUUUCGGGACUUGAAAGUAACUAGAUUGCACAUCCCUAUUAUCUACUCACUCUUUAUAAAAUUAUUCGAUUAAAAUCCGUUGAUUUUCCCUCCAUUUUCACAUUUCAAUGCCCAGGACUUAUCUUAUUGUUCUUUUUGCUAUUUCCCAGGUUUUACUUCCCGAUAUGUGAGAGUGAUUCAUUCCUGUAUCAUUUGGAUUGUACUAGUGACGAUGAAGAUGAGGCGGUUCCAAGUAUAUGAAAUAAUAUGAAAGCAACGUGGAAGAACUGAUCCAAGUGCGUUACAAAUAAAAUGUUUAUCAGACCUCGAUUAUGAAUAAAAAACAAGUAGGCGUCCGCAUGAAGAGGA